UGGGGUAGCUCAGAUGGUAGAGCAUUCCCUUGGUAAGGGAAAGGUCGUGGGUUCAAUUCCCGUCCCC
rnacentral:tRNA from 1 species